UAGCUCAGUGGUAGAGUGCUUGCCUCGUAUGCAUGAGGCCCUGGGUUCAAUUCCUCAG
rnacentral:tRNA from 1 species